GACGAACGCUGGCGGCGUGCUUAACACAUGCAAGUCGAACGGAAAGGCCCUGCUUUUGUGGGGUGCUCGAGUGGCGAACGGGUGAGUAACACGUGAGUAACCUGCCCUUGACUUUGGGAUAACUUCAGGAAACUGGGGCUAAUACCGGAUAGCAGCUCCUGCUGCAUGGUGGGGGUUGGAAAGUUUCGGCGGUUGGGGAUGGACUAGCGGAUUAUCAGCUUGUUGGUGGGGUAGUGGCUUACCAAGGAUUUGACGGGUAGCCGGCCUGAGAGGGUGACCGGCCACAUUGGGACUGAGAUACGGCCCAGACUCCUACGUUAGGCAGCAGUGGGGAAUAUUGCACAAUGGUCGGAAGCCUGAUGCAGCAACGCCGCGUUCGUGAUGACGUCCUUCUGGUUGUAAACCGCUUUCGCCUGUUACGAAGCUUGAGUGACGGUAAUGAGUAAAUAAGCACCGGCUAACUACGUG
rnacentral:rRNA from 1 species